GGGCCCGCACAAGCGGUGGAGCAUGUGGUUUAAUUCGAUGAUACGCGAGGAACCUUACCAGGGCUUAAAUGUUAGGUGACAGAUCUAGAAAUAGAUUUUUCUUCGGACACUUAACAAGGUGCUGCAUGGUUGUCGUCAGCUCGUGCCGUGAGGUGUCAGGUUAAGUCCUAUAACGAGCGCAACCCCUGUUGUUAGUUGCCAGCGAGUAAUGUCGGGAACUCUAGCAAGACUGCCAGUGCAAACUGUGAGGAAGGUGGGGAUGACGUCAAAUCAUCACGGCCCUUACGUCCUGGGCUACACACGUGCUACAAUGGUAGGUACAGAGAGCAGCCAAUGCGCGAGCAUGAGCAAAUCUAUAAAACCUAUCCCAGUUCGGAUUGAAGUCUGCAACUCGACUUCAUGAAGUUGGAAUCGCUAGUAAUCGGAUAUC
rnacentral:rRNA from 1 species